rnacentral:rRNA from 12 species
AGUGUAGCGGUGAAAUGCAUAGAUAUCACAUAGAACACCGAUUGCGAAGGCAGGUCACUAACAACGUACUGACGCUGAUGGACGAAAGCGUGGGUAGCGAACGGGAUUAGAUACCCCGGUAGUCCACGCCGUAAACGAUGGAUACUAGCUGUCGGGACUUCGGUCUCGGCGGCCAAGCGAAAGUGAUAAGUAUCCCACCUGGGGAGUACGUUCGCAAGAAUGAAACUCAAAGGAAUUGACGGGGGCCCGCACAAGCGGUGGAGCAUGUGGUUUAAUUCGAUGAUACGCGAGGAACCUUACCAGGGCUUAAAUGUAGUAUGACAGGUUUAGAGAUAGACUUUUCUUCGGACAUAUUACAAGGUGCUGCAUGGUUGUCGUCAGCUCGUGCCGUGAGGUGUUGGGUUAAGUCCCGCAACGAGCGCAACCCUUGUUUUUAGUUGCCUUUUAUGGAACUCUAAAAAGACUGCUGGUUAUAAACCGGAGGAAGGUGGGGAUGACGUCAAGUCAGCAUGCCCCUUACACCCUGGGCUACACACGUGCUACAUUGGGCGAGACAAUGAGAUGCAAGUCUGCGAAGAUUAGCUAAUCUAUAAACUCGUUCUAAGUUCGGAUUGUAGGCUGCAACUCGCCUACAUGAAGGUGGAAUCGCUAGUAAUCGCUGGUCAGCUACACAGCGGUGAAUCCGUUCCCGGGCCUUGUACACACCGCCCGUCACACCAUGGAAGCUGGUU